rnacentral:snoRNA from 1 species
AGGCGUUCAACAUUUAACUUUAGCCGUUCUUUUAAACUAAGCUAUUUGUUAUGCAAGUAACGCUAGAAUAUAAUUUCUGCAACAUUUAAUAAUGCUUUGGUCGUAUACUAACAAAAAUCUCAGCAUUUUGAGGU